UGGGGGAGCCAAAAUGUGCCUAGCAUUUUGAAGCACAAGAGCUGGCUGGGGAAGAUAGAAGGAGGAGCUGUCCAAGCACCUAGGCAGAGAAGGGCCAAUUCAAAAGCAACAGAAAAUAAGGCAAACUAAAGUGUUUCCCAGGCAGAUGGAUAUGGGGAGGCUGACCACCCCCCCCCCAACUUAAGGAUUGCAUCAUGCAGGUUCCUCUCCUGUCUGGCUUGCAGUUAAGCCAAUGAGUGCUACCAACAGAUUAGAGAAUGAGAGGAGAAAAAGCAAAGUGGGGCAGUGGGUAAAAAUAAAACUACAUAAAGAUUCUAAACGCUGUCUUCUGCCCAAGCUGAAGAGGAAACGGAAACUAGUGUUUUUCAGCAACCCUUUCCAAACACUUCUUACAAAGACGUAUUGGAAGAUGAAAUGAGGAGUGAAGACUUCAUAUAUAUUUCGGUUAGACAUGCUGUCCCACAUUAAUAUAAAUAAUCAAAAGUUAGCUGCACUUACAAAAGCUAUUUUCUAUAGAUAUCAUGAAUACUAAUUAGGAAAUUCACCCCAAAUAUACAUCU